UACGGAGGGUGCAAGCGUUAAUCGGAAUUACUGGGCGUAAAGCGUGCGCAGGCGGUUUGUUAAGUCUGUCGUGAAAUCCCCGGGCUCAACCUGGGAAUGGCGAUGGAUACUGGGCAGCUAGAGUGUGUCAGAGGAUGGUGGAAUUCCCGGUGUAGCGGUGAAAUGCGUAGAGAUCGGGAGGAACAUCAGUGGCGAAGGCGGCCAUCUGGGACAACACUGACGCCGAAGCACGAAAGCGUGGGGAGCAAACAGG
rnacentral:rRNA from 1 species